CUCAAAAUGUUAUUCCUCUCAUUUUAUUCGAGAAACAACAUUUUGGGGG
rnacentral:pre_miRNA from 1 species